AAAUUGAAGACAUGCCAUAAUUAUUGCAAUUGCCCGGCAACCAGCAAUUUGUUUGACGCUCAUUUGCGCUUCCUUUCACUUCCCGCCGGAGUAUGCGCCAUUUCCUCUCCGAUCACACGGAAUCGCUGGAGCUUAGUCUAUGGUUGGAUUGAAUCAGGCUGAGGGUGAACAGCGGGGCUGCCUUGUUUUCAUCGCGUCAAAGCUGUACCAGAACAACCGAUUCCUAAUUUUUCAGGAGAAACUAAGGAUUCAAGACGUCCGAAAGCGAGGGCAGCGAUUUGACGUUCACUUCGCUGCUUGAAAUUGGGCUGCUGGAGAAGUACUGUAAGAGGUGAAAAUGCUGACAUGCAUAGUUCGUUCUAAGAAACUCGGAGAUGGCUCCUUGACUCAAAUUGAAGAAUCGGACUCCGUCAAUGGACCUGGGAAUAAGCAACAAUCUGUCAAAUCUCUGACAGGUCAGCUCAAAGACAUGGCGUUAAAAGCCUCCGGAUCGUACCGAACUUGCAACCCUUGCGCAGGGCCGAUACCGCAGAGUCGACUCAAGAACUGCAGCUCACAGUCAGAUGCCGACUCAGAGCGGUUCAAGUGGGCUUACAAGCGAUCCGGGAGCUUGAGCUCGACGAAAACGAGAACAUGGGGCAAGGAGAUGGAAGCGAGGCUGAAGGGGAUUUCAAGCGGAGAAGGAACCCCCAAUUCACUGAGUAGGCGCCGAGUCGACCCAGUUGUGUACGUCGAGGAGAGCGAACCAAAGGAGUGGGUGGCGCAGGUGGAACCCGGUGUGUUAAUCACAUUCGUUUCACUUCCUCGAGGAGGGAAUGAUCUGAAACGGAUACGUUUCAGUCGAGACGUAUUCAAUAAAUGGCAAGCUCAAAGAUGGUGGGCAGAAAACUAUGAUAGAGUUAUGGAACUAUACAAUGUUCAGAGGUUCAACCGGCAAGCCUUUCCUCUUCCAACCCCACCGAGAUCCGAGGACGAGCAAAGCUCAAAAAUAGAAUCUGUGGAACACAGCCCUGUAACACCUCCACUAACUGCAGAACGCUUGCCUCGCAAUCUCCACCGUCCCAUUGGAGCGGGUGUGAGUUAUUCAUCCCCAGAUUCACUUGAAUAUCAGCCAAUGCAGUAUCGGCAGUACCAAGAUUCAGGUCUCACCUCCACUCCUAAACUCUCUAGCAUCAGUGGCGCAAAGACAGAAACAUCUUCCAUUGAUGCAUCCAUGAGAAGCAGUUCAUCAAGGGAUGCAGAUCGUUCAGGAGAACUAUCCAUCAGUAACGCUAGUGAUCUUGAGUCUGAAUGGGUCGAACAAGACGAGGCAGGGGUUUAUAUUACAAUCAGAGCUUUGCCUGGCGGCAAAAGGGAACUCAGAAGAGUCAGAUUCAGCCGGGAAAAAUUUGGGGAGAUGCAUGCUAGAUUGUGGUGGGAAGAAAAUCGAGCCAGAAUACACGAGCAAUACUUGUAAGAGAAUCAGUGCAAAAAAUCUGGCAACGUGCGCUUUUCAAAAGUCCGAAAGAAGUGGUUUGAAACAAGGGAAAAUGACAAAACAGGGGAAACUCAAAUUCAACUGGUUGCCUUCGCAGACAGGCUACUAUUCCACCAAGAAUGCUUUGUCCUGCUUUUGAUAAUCAUAGAAUCCACAAUGAUUUCAGGUAUGGAAAACUUCCCAUCUGAACAAACAAAUCUGGUUUAUGUUGGGCACUGCAGAAAGAGAAACUGGAAGGAUCAGCAGAGGAGACAAGGAUGCAGAAGAAAUGAAAAGAAGAGGUAAUUGGGGAGACAGGUAGUGAGUCAAAAUAAUUGGAGGAACAGGCAAAGAUUGCAAAAACUAAACCGUGAAGAUUCUUGUGGUACAGAAGAACUGAAGGUUGAUAUGUAGUUUAGGAGUGGACAGUGAAGCAGAGGGUGAAAUCUGUGGAAGACAAAUGUUAGUGGAGACUGAAGAGUGUUUGUUUCUCAACAACCGACAUGGAAAGAUUCUCAGAAAUGAGGAAGAUUGUAGUAUGCAAAAUUGGCACAAAACAAGCUAUUUCAUAUGACAAUGCCAUUGCCUGUAAUGAGUAAUGGAAAGCUGUAGACAGGCAGGAAACUUAAACCCUUUGUCUUGGGCGUAGGGUGCAUUUUUGGUCACCUCA